CCUACGGGUGGCAGCAGUGGGGAAUAUUGCGCAAUGGGCGAAAGCCUGACGCAGCGACGCAGCGUGAGGGAUGAAGGUCUUCGGAUCGUAAACCUCUGUCAGCAGGGAAGAACGGUCACUGUGCUAAUCAGCAGUGAAUUGACGGUACCUGCAAGGGAAGCACAGGCUAACUCCGUGCCAGCAGCCGCGGUAAGACGGAGGGUGCGUGCGUUAAUCGGAAUUACUGGGCGUAAAGCGCUCGUAGGCGGUAUGUCAAGUCAAGGGUGAAAUCCCCGCGCUCAACGUGGGAACUGCCUUUGAAACUGGCAAACUGGAGUGGGUGAGAGGAUAGUGGAAUUCCAGGUGUAGGAGUGAAAUGCGUAGAUAUCUGGAGGAACAUCAGUUGCGAAGGCGACUAUCUGGCACAUAACUGACGCUGAGGAGCGAAAGCGUGGGUAGCAAACAGGAUUAGAUACCCUUGUAGUC
rnacentral:rRNA from 1 species